rnacentral:rRNA from 1 species
AAAUUAAAGGGCCGCGGUAUUUUGACCGUGCAAAGGUAGCAUAAUCAUUAGUCUUUUAAUUGAGGGCUGGAAUGAAUGGUUUAACGAAAUAUUAGCUGUCUCUUUAUAAUAAAUAUAAUUUAACUUUUGAGUCAAAAGGCUUAGAUGAUUAUAAAAGACGAGAAGACCCUAUAGAUCUUUAUACAUGAAUAUUUUUAUUUUUUUUAGAUUAAUUUUUAAUGGAUAUAUUAUUGUAUUUUGUUGGGGUGACAUGAAGAUAAAAACAACUCUUUAUUAUUAAUACAUUGAUUUAUGAAUAAUUGAUCCAUUAUUAGUGAUUAUAAGAUAAAGUUACCUUAGGGAUAACAGCGUAAUUUUUUUUGAGAGUUCUUAUCGACAAAAAAGAUUGCGACCUCGA